rnacentral:lncRNA from 1 species
GUUCAGCUAUGAUUCACUUCUGCCUGGCCCACGCUGCAUACCAUAUGGGCAGAAGCCUACCAAAGCGCCACCACUUCAGACUCCAGCUUGUCAUCUUUGCCACUGGGAUCUCAGUUCUCCUCCUCCAACUCCACAUCCUGCUAAGACCCAAGUCUGCUCGCUACUGCAGCCAGCCCCUUCUGUACAACCUUGUCGGAAGCAUCGUCUUCACCUUCUUUGCCACAGGCCUAUCUCUGCUGCUGGUCAUGCUGGAACCUAUUCCAUGGGAACUCAAGACCGCUUUCUCUACCUUUGGAGUGGCAUCUUUUGCCCAAGGAGUUUGUACCACCGCACUGACUGCCCUGGCAACACAAUGUGUGAGUAAUCAUUGCUGCCAUUACAUUUAGUCACAAGUUUUGUAUUUCUAGACGUGUUUUAAAACCCAAACAAAGAAGAAAGCGGAUAGGGAGAGAAUCAAUUCAUCUCAAAGGUGGUGCAAUAGUCUGUGACUAUCAUGGACUUCCAAAAAGACAAAUCGAUAGGUUGAAGAGCAAAUUAGGCCUGCAUGACACAUAGGAGUUAUGAUGAUUUGUAAGCUAUCAUGCCUCAAUGUGUCUUCAAGUCACCUUUCAACUUAAGGCAACCACUUCUUCACUUCACUUCACUUCACUUUAUUUCUUAACUAGCUUGGGCACCCGGCGAUGCCCGGGUCAUUUGAGAAUGGUAUUAUUUGUCUUUUAAUGUUAUGUUUUCUGUUUGGAGUGGGUGAACUACAAUUCCCAGAAUCGUGGCUGAAUCCUCCUGAAACCCUGCCAGUAUGAUAAGUUGGCCAUUUUGGGCAUGUGUAGCAGGUGUGGAUGGGGGUGAACUAUUGCAAUUUCCAGAUUCCCGGGGCAAUUGCCCCGAAAUAUCUAUCAGUAUCCACAGCAGGCAAUAUUCAGUCUGUGUGCCAAGUUUGGUCUAGAUUCCUCAUUGGCUGGGUUCAGUGGUUUUUGGAUGGAGGUUGUAUGGCCAGAAUCGAGAACAACCUCCAGGAAGCCGAAGAUGGGAAAUGCCUAUAUACUUCUAUCUGUUGCUUGUCCUGUCUGUGUAUAACGGCAUUGAAUGUUCGCCGUAUAUGUGUUCUGUUAUUCACCCUGAGGCCUCUGCAGGGUGAGAAGGGCAGAAUAUAAAUGCUGUAAAUAAAUACUGUAUAUACUCAAGUAUAAAUCGACCCGAAUAUAAGCCGAGGCACCUAAUUUUACCACAAAAAAACUAGGAAAACAUUGACUCCAGUAUACGCCGAGGGUGGUAAAUUUCAGAAAUAAAAAUAGAUACCAUUAAAUUACAUUACCGUAUAUACUGAAGUAUAAGCCAACC